rnacentral:rRNA from 1 species
AUAAUGGGUCAGCGACUUAUAUUCUGUAGCAAGGUUAACCGAAUAGGGGAGCCGAAGGGAAACCGAGUCUUAACUGGGCGUUAAGUUGCAGGGUAUAGACCCGAAACCCGGUGAUCUAGCCAUGGGCAGGUUGAAGGUUGGGUAACACUAACUGGAGGACCGAACCGACUAAUGUUGAAAAAUUAGCGGAUGACUUGUGGCUGGGGGUGAAAGGCCAAUCAAACCGGGAGAUAGCUGGUUCUCCCCGAAAGCUAUUUAGGUAGCGCCUCGUGAAUUCAUCUCCGGGGGUAGAGCACUGUUUCGGCAAGGGGGUCAUCCCGACUUACCAACCCGAUGCAAACUGCGAAUACCGGAGAAUGUUAUCACGGGAGACACACGGCGGGUGCUAACGUCCGUCGUGAAGAGGGAAACAACCCAGACCGCCAGCUAAGGUCCCAAAGUCAUGGUUAAGUGGGAAACGAUGUGGGAAGGCCCAGACAGCCAGGAUGUUGGCUUAGAAGCAGCCAUCAUUUAAAGAAAGCGUAAUAGCUCACUGGUCGAGUCGGCCUGCGCGGAAGAUGUAACGGGGCUAAACCAUGCACCGAAGCUGCGGCAGCGACGCUGAUGCG